rnacentral:tRNA from 1 species
AGGCCUAGGGGCUAUCAAACCCAAAAUCCGACUUGCAAUCAAAUAUUACUAAACC